AAAACUUUGGUUGGAAGUUAUGUGUUGAAUGAUGAUGAAGUCAAUGAAAUUACUCCAUUUGAAACGAUUUCUUCAUUUUUAGUACAGUAUAAUGCAAACGGAUUCCUAGAAUAAUAAUGAUUUGACUAUUAUGUGGAAGAAGAAGUCAAGGGCGGGGGAUUCCCCAGGGAACAGGCUGGUUAUUUAUUACCUGUAUUAUCAGACCAUCGGUCCGGCGGUCAAAAAGGAGGAAGCCGGGGCGAAGUUCACGGGAAGCCACUUAACGCAUUCCAUUCUCUCUUGGCGGCCAAGGAAGUAAUCAGAAGCAGACAAGUAGUCCAUAGAUUAGAAAAAGAGGUCAAGAGUCUUGCUAGAAUACCAGGCAGGGCUGGGCGGUUGUCAGUUAGACUAGCACUACAAAUAUGAAGCAAUUUCUUUUCUUUUCUUUUUUUUUCUAGAAGGUGAGAAUGGAAUUUACUGUGUAUUACAAUAUGUACAUCAACUAAAAAUUUAACAAUCUAGUACUGUGAGUUACUUUUGUAUUUUUUUUAAUAGAAA
rnacentral:lncRNA from 1 species